rnacentral:misc_RNA from 1 species
UCCUGACCUCCGAAAAAGAAUGCCUAGAUGCAUAUAAUAGCAAAAAUAAGAAGAAAAUAGAAGUAACAAUAAAAAUACCAGCAAAAGGAAAGCAAGCAGAUUGACAUGAACACCAAUCCCACAUUCAGAACAUGACACCUUGAUAGAAAACAAAUGAGAGAUUAAGGAUGACAGAAAGAAGAACAAAAGAAGGUGAGAAAGAGAAGGGAAGGGGGUUAAGGCCCUUAUGCAUUGACCCACUAUGUUUGAUCACGUAAUCAUUAAUAUCUGCAGUUCAAAUUUUGUCCUUACUUUACUUAUAUGGCGCAGUAAGAUGACGGAUAUGCCCCAACCCAACUCACCAUUUUAAUUCUUGACUUAAUAUCCAAAGGCAUAAACAAAAAUGAAUUUUCUGAUGAAAAAACAGAAAGAUCAUUAACUUAUCAGAAACUCAGGAAAAUUCAAGAGCCCAAACUAGUUGAUAGAGGUUUAUAUUCUUCCAACCUUGUAAAAUUCAAGACCUAAAUUCAAGGCAACACAGAAGCUAAAUCAACUAUAGUUUAAUAGUUGGUACGAAUUCAGAUUUCAAUUGUAGUAAAAUAUUCAUUUGCAUAAAAGCUAAACACCAACAAGAGGACUCUCAUAAUUCCUCUAUCGCUUGAGUAUAUAAAGAUUAAUUACUUGUUUGCUCAUUUCAACUGGAAACCAUAAUAGAAUGAGCAAUCUUACUCGUUUCAUUUCAUUCAAAAAUUCUAAAUUAUCAAAAGGAUAUGUACACUCAAAGUUGAAGAGAAACAAAUAUCAGAAUUUCUAUUAGUUCUCAAUUGUUAACAUCAAUAAUAAUAAGCUCUCUAACAAAAUAUGUAGAUGAUAUAGGUAUUUAUUGUGUAAUAACUAGGUCUAUUAGUACUAGGAUUAGAAAUCUCAAAAUAAGAUAAUACUAAACCAAUCUAAUUAAGAAUAUAAAACCAACACUAACUAAGGAAAUACUAAGCCGAAUAAAACCUUUUAAAUAUUCCUAUAUAAUUAAAUUUCCUAAACAAUAGAAAACUAAACUUCUUAUUUUUACAAUGAAAAAUUAAAUCAAAGUAAUUCCUAAAUCUAGGCUUCCUUGACUGCACCAUAAUUAUGAAAAUCAGGUACAGUAUACACCAGUUAUAUGUUGCCCAAAACUUAAUAUAUUAGAUGCCAUAUCUUACCCAAAAACUUGAACCAAUGAAUUGCAGGUCAAUCUCAACCAGAUAUUUGUAUUCCCAUCUUGCUUCCUACUUCCCUACCCGAAGGUGGGACAUGUAACACCUGAUCACUCACACAUGAAUUUCAAAUAUUGAUUUUUGGAUCAAAAAUGCACUCACAAUUACAAAUUUUGCAAUCACCCGUUGUCCAAGUUCAAUUGUUCAAGAUGUAUUGGUCAAUUAUAAUAGCUUGAUUUCAUGAUUUCCAUAUGUUAACACGACCAUGAGUGAAAUAGAGCAGCAAAGGAACCAAGUUCAAAUAAAGAAAUGCCACCUCAUCAAAAAUUCUAAUCCCCCAAGGACAACUCUCUCACAAAAGAAACCACUUCAAAAUACCAAACUACUAGCAUAAAAUGUUACUUUAGACAUAAAAUAUCUUGGAUAAACCACACUCUAACCUAAUGCUAUUUUUUUUACAAUGGCAAUCCAUGAUGUUCCCGCCAAGCAUUGAAAAAAUGUGUACACAUUCAGCAAAUACAGCCUCAUUAAAUAACAAUAUCAUCAAUAAAAUUUGAUAAGGAAGACUGGUAUCAGACGAAAUUUCAAUACAAGGAAGAGCCCAAAAAAGAACCUCCUGGAUUUGAACAGCAGAAC